AGCAAAGCACAGCUUCUCACAUGGCAGGGAUUCAUCGCACCGACCAGGAUUAUAAGGAUUACAGGCGCACACCAUUGUAAUUUUGUGAUAUUUGGGUGGCAACAAAAGCAGACCCAAGAAUUUGAAGAACAGGCAGCCUGAACCUGCACCUGAGAACUGCAAAUGGUCCCAGUCUGCAUUCACACAGCCCUACAAGAGGCAUCACCACAAGAACUCCGAGACCACAAACCACCCCAACCAUAGCACAGGAGGCAGCAACACUUUGGCUUAAAAGGAGAACUGCACACAGGUGUCAGACCUGGCAGAAGGAGAUCAGAAUCCAACCCCUCUAUGGCACAGCAGAAGCCCUGAGGGGCACAGAGCCCAGCACAGCACUCAAGCACCAGCGCAGGGCGACCAUUUCCCACCCAGCUCUGAGGCAGUGGGAACAGCACAACGGCUGCCCCAGAAGCAGCUGACCUCAGCCGCUCUGACUUCAGACAGCAUCACUCAGAAUUGUCUCCUCAAGAAGAGAACCCUUGUCUCAAAACCAGCCUACCUGCAGCACCCCAGACAUCAGCCACGUGGAGUGCAAAAGCAGCAUUAGCAGGGCUGAUGUGUUAAUUUUUGCUCAGUAUCCAUCCACAGGCCUCUCACAAUGACUUUCUGCAGGCCAACUGUGCGCUGCCUCCGCUACCAAAAGAAAUAGGGGUCCAUAACUGAUGCAGCCCUAUCCUACCUGUCACACCUGGCUACAUGGAGUCUCCUGACCUGAUAGGGGUUUUAAAUUAGGAAAAAUCCUCAGCUCCUUGGACAUCCUGAGGAUGCCUGCUAUGCUCUGCUGAGAGGACAGCUUGGUUUGGAUGCUGGAACCUGCAGAAUUCAAACUCCUUUGUAGCCAAAACUGUCCGUUUGCUUCUGCCACAAAUGUUUCUGGUGUCCCAAUGGUCACCUGGCUCAAAGGGCAGCAGUGCUUUGUAGCAGUACUCAGGCCAUCCUCUUGGCAGAGGAAAACAGCCUUUUUGUUACAGUAUGUCCUCUGAAGCAUGCUGGCCCUGGGAGAAGAGCAGGAUGAUGUCUGUGCUGGGUGGCUGCUCAUUUUGCAUGAGCAGAGCUGGGGCUGCAGCACUGCUGGGCUCACACACUAACAAAACAGCCUGGUGUUCUUCAUCACGGUUAGCUCUCAGCAUCGCACACCCUGAAAGCAUUUCAGCAGUACUCAGUGUGCUGAGAAAGGAACUAGGGAGAUGGGAUUCCUGUGGACAAAAAUAGUUUAAAAGUUACAGCAAAACAAGACUGUUGGAACAUGGAGUCCUCUUUAGCAGCAUCCAGCCAAGCAGCAAGAACGAAAAGGAAAUAACCUAUAAAUAAUACACAGCAAAUCUGCUCUGAUCCACUAACCCACUGUAGGGCAGGUUUACAGUGAAGAAUAAAAAGAAUUUAAGCUUGAUUGUGAUUUAGAAAGAGUACAGCAUCAAUGUAUGUUCCUUGCCCUGGUUUCGCAGCUGGAAUCAAUGGAUAACAGACUCAAUGUGAUGGAAGACCAGUCCAACUUUCUGCUCAUGGUGUGUGUUUUGGUUUUUUUUUUCUGAGAAGGGAAGGAGCACACAGCUGCCAGCUGCACAGGAAGGUCUGUGUUCCACUGGGUGGCUCUGAGAAGCACCUCUGGGGCAGACGUGAUCCUGGAUGCUGUGACCAAAGCACAAAGAGCAUCUCCACCAGCACUGAGACCUCCUCAUGGGAAAGGAAAGCAAACAGAAGUAUGUCACCAUUUAUCAACUCAUAAGAGCUGCCCUGGGAUAGGCAGCGCAUGUAAUACUCAUGUACUAACAGGACAUAACAUCAAACAGAAUAUGGGUUAUUAAUUCCCAUUAUGGAAUAACUGAUGUUUCUUUAAAGUAAUGUGACAGGCAAGAAGCAAGCUCACCUUUCCCAUAAGAUACAAAGCCAUACUCAGACACUACUGAAGCUUUGUUUUGACUAUAAGGAGGUUCUUCAGGAUUGCCAACAGAAUGUGGCAGAAGGGGCGUCCUCCUAAGAUGGUAACGUUUUUGCUAGAACGUCCUUUCUGACAACAUACUGUUGGUAAAGCUACGAGAGCAGCUCUGUUUUUACUUAAAUAAACCCAAGUGAUAAUUAUCUAUAUGGUUUGAUUGAAUACAGAAAAACGAUGACCAGUUUUU